AGGUGGGUGGUCUUCAGUCUCCGAGGAGUUGUCAAGGAGGUUUUAAUCGGCCACUCCCAGCCAUCUGUACAGCUCUUAAGAUCGGCAAACGUGAGUCACCUCUGCUGCAUCCAUGCAAACCACCCAUGGAGAGUUCGACCUCCGCCUAUUUCUAGAGAGGCAUUUAACGAAGACUGACCUAAUUCAAGCAAAAAUAGGUCUUGAUUAGUGUGUGACUAACCUGCUUAUUUCUCUAAUUAAAAAAGAGCCUUUCUUCUAUGCUUAGUGACUAGAUUGUGAUGCUUGAUAAUGGUAAAGUUGCCAGUUACCAUUUUUCUCCUUUUUCUUCUCCUUCCUCUUCCUCUCUUUUCCAUACCUUUUUUUCUCUCUCCCUCUCUUAAAAAAAAAACAAAACAACAACUUAUGCUGGUAUCCAAUUAUGCUGCCUGAGAACCUCUGUUAUUUCCUCAAUCUUGCAGAGCAGCUGCCAUUCAGAACUCUAGUUAUUGCCCAAGGUUAAAGUCAUCUCUUCCCAGUUCAGAUCUGAGCGGCAGCUGCUUCUCCCUACAGACACGAAUUCAGUGUGCAAAGACCCACCUGGCACCAGGAACUCCUUGUUAGCUCAGCUACUCCACUGCUAGCCGAGGGAGCAUUACCAAUCUCCCCAAGAAGCACUCAUGCCCAUACAACAUCGCUUAUUUUAAAUUGAUUCUAAGAAUCAGGGAGUUAUUUAAAACUUCUUUGAAACUGUUCACAAUUACAGUCUAUCUAUGGAGACCCUCUCCUUUAUUUUUAUGACGCACACCACAUUGAACAAAAGAAAAGUGAUUGAAAAAGAUAGUUUCCAAAUGCCUGGAAAAUAAGAAAGGUGAUCUGAUAGGUCUGGGGCAGAAAUAUAACAGGGAAAUAGAGUCCCAGGCAAAGGGACUUAAUACAAGAGAGGACUUUAAGUAGAACUGGUUAACCAGUUUUACCACAGCCACUAGUUUGCUUCUCCUUAGACAAAUAUUUGAGGUGAGUUUCACUUUAAGAUAUGCUCCUGGAAAUUGUUCAUGCAUCAAUUUAUUAACACAAUCCUAUUUUUAAGGGACCAUUAUUGUGUUUUAAUGAAGCAAAGACUGCUUUGAUGACAUACAUCAAGCUUCUAUAAUUUAUCUCAACCACUGGCCAUGAUUCUAUCAGAGGAUUUUCUUACUAGAAAAUGAGACUGUGGUCUGAUUUCUUUUGGUCCUUGGCUCAUCCUGUGAGAAAUGUUCUGAAGAAGCUGAAGAUGUUCAUUACAGAGCUGUAUAUGCCCUUAAAGGAAACUUGAAAGGUAUCGUACGGACGGUCCCUUGGGUCUCUCAGGGCAGUGCAGAAUCAGCAGGGAACGUCUGAAGGCUUCACUAGGGCUGGUCAAACUGACUGCCUUCCACUGGUGGGUAUAGACAUGUGGAGCUUAUGUUGCUGAAAGAAUUAAAUGAGACCCUCUGUGGUAGGCUAAAAAUGGGGGAGAAAAUCAGGUCUCCAGAGGGUCUGGUGUGACCUUUACUCAUUCAUGUUUUCACUUUUAGCUGUGUACCCUCUCAUGCAGAAUUCAGUGGCCAGAAGCUUGUAUCUUGGUCUUGGAUAAUACAGUUAUCUCUGUAUUUUGAGUUUCUUCCUUAUUCAGAAGCAGAGGAUGGGGAUCUGGAAGCAGUGCCCCGAGGCAUGGGAGCCCUCUUUCUGGAUGGAUUUAUAGUGCUUGGCUUCAGUCUUACAUUGUUUUGCCUUCUGGUAUCCUGAAUGUUCCCCUGGCGAUCUCCUGGAAAGGGUUUCUCAAUUUAUUUAUGUCCAGAGUUGAUGUUUUAUGAACUAAUCAUUCUUUAUUGACCACUUAGGAAUGGUCUUUAAACAGAAUUAUUAUUAUUUUUCCUUUUUUCUAAUGGACUAACAGGCCACUGACCCUAAAUGUAUGGUUCACUUACAUGUGUCAUCAAUUUGUGAGUUACUUGAUAUUUCAAAUUGCCUUGAAUAUUGCCGUGUUUAUAGGUGUACAGUAUUUUUAAUGUUGCCAUUAACUUUAUUGCUACUUUUACAAU
ensembl:lncRNA novel transcript